AUUGAACGCUGGCGGCAGGCUAUCACAUGCAAGUCGAGCGGAGAUGAGGUGCUUGCACCUUAUCUUAGCGGCGGACGGGUGAGUAAUGCUUAGGAAUCUGCCUAUUAGUGGGGGACAACAUUCCGAAAGGAAUGCUAAUACCGCAUACGCCCUACGGGGGAAAGCAGGGGAACUUCGGACCUUGCGCUAAUAGAUGAGCCUAAGUCGGAUUAGCUAGUUGGUGGGGUAAAGGCCUACCAAGGCGACGAUCUGUAGCGGGUCUGAGAGGAUGAUCCGCCACACUGGGACUGAGACACGGCCCAGACUCCUACGGGAGGCAGCAGUGGGGAAUAUUGGACAAUGGGCGGAAGCCUGAUCCAGCCAUGCCGCGUGUGUGAAGAAGGCCUUUUGGUUGUAAAGCACUUUAAGCGAGGAGGAGGCUACCUGGAUUAAUACUCUAGGAUAGUGGACGUUACUCGCAGAAUAAGCACCGGCUAACUCUGUGCCAGCAGCCGCCGGUAAGAC
rnacentral:rRNA from 1 species